UAGUUGGUGGAGUGAUUUGUCUGGUUAAUUCCGUUAACGAACGAGACCCCCGCCUGCUAAAUAGUGAUCAUAAUGCAUAGCAUUGUGGUUUUUUUACUUCUUAGAGGGACUUUUGGUGACUAACCAAAGGAAGUUGGGGGCAAUAACAGGU
rnacentral:rRNA from 1 species